UAGUCCACGCUGUAAACGAUGAGCACUUGUUAUCGCGGGUAUUGACCCCUGCGGUGACGAAGCUAACGCAUUAAGUGCUCCGCCUGGGGAGUACGGUCGCAAGACUAAAACUCAAAGGAAUUGACGGGGGCCCGCACAAGCGGUGGAUCAUGUGGUUCAAUUCGAAGCUACGCGAACAACCUUACCUGGGCUUGAAGUCCCACGAACGAUCUAGAGAUAGAUUGGUGCUCUUCGGAGAAUGUGGUGAUAGGUGCUGCAUGGCUGUCGUCAGCUCGUGUUGUGAAAUGUUGGGUUAAGUCUCGCAACGAGCGCAACCCCUAUUGUUAGUUGCCAGCAUUAAGUUGGGCACUCUAAUGAGACCGCCUGGGUUAACCAGGAGGAAGGUGGGGAUGACGUCAAGUCCUCAUGGCCCUUAUGUCCAGGGCUACACACGUGAUACAAUGGUGCAUACAGAGGGACGCGAACUCGCGAGGGGGAGCGAAAUCUCAAAAAGUGA
rnacentral:rRNA from 1 species